GAGUUUGAUCGUGGCUCAGAUUGAACGCUGGCGGCAGGCCUAACACAUGCAAGUCGAACGGUAACAGGAAACAGCUUGCUGUUUCGCUGACGAGUGGCGGACGGGUGAGUAAUGUCUGGGAAACUGCCUGAUGGAGGGGAUAACUACUGGAAACGGUAGCUAAUACCGCAUAACGUCGCAAGACCAAAAGAGGGGGACCUUCGGGCCUCUUGCCGAUCGGAUGUGCCCAGAUGGGAUUAGCUAGUAGGU
rnacentral:rRNA from 1 species